AUUUAAUUCUCCUAACAAUUUAAUGAAGGAGGUAAUAUUAUUAUCCGGUUUUACAGAUGAGAAUGCUGAGUCUUGGAGAAGAUAAAUUAUGGAUGCAAGCUUACCCAGCCAAGAUGGAGAGCACCUGAACACAGAGCCUGUCCUUGGUGUCAGAGGCUGCCUCUCCCCAGCUUCCGUAAGCCUAUGCUACACUUUUCCAGAUAACGAGAACAUCACGCUCGAGUCCUUGACAGCAACCGCAGAGGAGCCCCCGGUCUGAGGCGGUGCUGGGCCAUCUGAAGCCCUGCAAUGCUCACGUCCAUGUGUGAGGGACAGCAGUCCCCGGAGUGUGGGCCCGGUGGGGGUGCACAGCAAAUCCCGCAGGGCGGGCUGGUGCACAAGCCCAGCCAGGCCCUCUACUGAAAGCUGACACAUGUCCUGGAGGCCGACUUUCCCAGGGAACUAAGUCUUGGAAGAGAAAGCAGAAGGAGGGAGAAAUCAACAUCCGUUCUGGUGGCCUGGCUCCUGCAAGGAUUGAGUCUGGAAAAGCAGAGGGGAAGACAGCAAGGCAGGAGUGACGGUCACAGCCGGCCUGGCAUUUAUCUGAUGAAGUCCUGAUUCUUCGUAGUGGUUUGACUUUCGUAUGCCUUCCAUGUAGAGGCUGAAUGCAUUUUGCUAUGUUGUUGUAGCUGUUGUUUUGAACCUACUGAUAAAAGGAAUAAAUAUACCUUCCUGCUGCCCUUUUAGAAAAUCUGAUGCUGC
rnacentral:lncRNA from 1 species